rnacentral:rRNA from 1 species
GAUGAACGCUGGCGGCGUGCCUAAUACAUGCAAGUAGAACGCUGAAGCUUGGUGCUUGCACCGAGCGGAUGAGUUGCGAACGGGUGAGUAACGCGUAGGUAACCUGCCUCUUAGCGGGGGAUAACUAUUGGAAACGAUAGCUAAUACCGCAUAAAAGUCGAUAUCGCAUGAUAUUGAUUUGAAAGGUGCAAAUGCAUCACUAAGAGAUGGACCUGCGUUGUAUUAGCUAGUUGGUGAGGUAACGGCUCACCAAGGCGACGAUACAUAGCCGACCUGAGAGGGUGAUCGGCCACACUGGGACUGAGACGCGGCCCAGACUCCUACGGGAGGCAGCAGUAGGGAAUCUUCGGCAAUGGGGGCAACCCUGACCGAGCAACGCCGCGUGAGUGAAGAAGGUUUUCGGAUCGUAAAGCUCUGUUGUAAGAGAAGAACGAGUGUGAGAGUGGAAAGUUCACACUGUGACGGUAACUUACCAGAAAGGGACGGCUAACUACGUG